rnacentral:rRNA from 1 species
GAUGAACGCUGGCGGCGUGCCUAAUACAUGCAAGUCGAGCGAACGGACGAGAAGCUUGCUUCUCUGAUGUUAGCGGCGGACGGGUGAGUAACACGUGGAUAACCUACCUAUAAGACUGGGAUAACUUCGGGAAACCGGAGCUAAUACCGGAUAAUAUUUUGAACCGCAUGGUUCAAAAGUGAAAGACGGUCUUGCUGUCACUUAUAGAUGGAUCCGCGCUGCAUUAGCUAGUUGGUAAGGUAACGGCUUACCAAGGCAACGAUGCAUAGCCGACCUGAGAGGGUGAUCGGACAAACUGGAACUGAGACACGGUCCAGACUCCUACGGGAGGCAGCAGUAGGGAAUCUUCCGCAAUGGGCGAAAGCCUGACGGAGCAACGCCGCGUGAGUGAUGAAGGUCUUCGGAUCGUAAAACUCUGUUAUUAGGGAAGAACAUAUGUGUAAGUAACUGUGCACAUCUUGACGGUACCUAAUCAGAAAGCCACGGCUAACUACGUG